UUUGUGAUCAUUUUGUGUGUGCAUGUUGCUACAAAACAGCUGUGAUUUGGCACUUCCCAGUGAGGUACAAUAUUGUGCCUUUGUGUGCCCACAUAAAAACGUCAUGUGAUCCGAAGCUGUUCUGGAAUUCCGGGGGCCUCACGUGGACUGGAAGUUCAGUGAGUGAAUUAUAGGGGACAUUGUGGCAUGAAGGACAACAAAGUUUCCACUUCCAUGUAGAGAAAGUGUGUGCGUGUGUGUGUGUCAGCGAGUGACGACCACAUAUUCUGCGUUUAAUGAUCAGGUCCAGGAUUAUCAAAUGGUGGCCUGUGGCCAGUUCUGGCACUUGUGUCUUCUCUGGCCCCAACCCAUUCCCCAAUAUGUACAAUCUCUAAAAAUAGGUAAUAAAGUAAUGAAUAAUAUCCUACCAUCAAGACCUAAAUGUAUAAAUAGAUGUAGGCAGUACUCUUGUGCUGUGUGUGUUUGUUUGUGUGUGUGUGUGUGUUUGUUUGUUAGUUUUUCAUUACAUGCUGCACUGGGGGGUCAGCCAAAUAUCCUCACAUGGACAGGAAUAUCUGAGCGUUUUGACCAUGUGGGGACAUUUGGCUGGUUCCCAUGAGGAAAACCACUGUUAUUAGCUAUUAGCCUGAAAAAACUUGUGCUGUUAGGCCAAGUGUGGGGAAAAUAGUGAGGAAAGAGAAUGUAAGUGAGGAGAAAUUGGUAAUGACAAGUGGAUGCACAUCUCUAUCAGCAUUUCCGUUUUAAUCAAGACUAUCUCAGUCCCAAGUUUUGUGUAAAAUGUGACAAGUAGUGGUGGCUCUGUAAUUAAAUUAUCUAUAAGAGUAGAUUUUAACAGGGAUUUCUUUUUACUCUUACAAAUUUUCCACCACAGUUUUUCGGUGGCUGAAUAUCAUAUGGUGUGCACUAACUCUUAGGACACUGUAUUCAGUGACUGUAAUGUAAUGGUCUCCCAUUGAAUGCUGGGAAUCCUUUUAUUAGCAUCAUUUUAUUAGCAGAAUUAGCAUCAUUAACUAUUUUGGGGGGAAGGUUGAUGUGUAUGGUGGGGUAUGACUCAAACAAUACAUACUCUGCCAGAAUUUCUCAGAAUCUGCCAGAAAGUCUACUUGAUGACACGUUCUCUAGGUCCUAGAGAAGAGAACUGAAAAUACAGAAGACAGGCCACCUCAGUAGGAAGCACUUGUUCCCCCUAAAGUUAUAUAUUAGCACUUUUUCUGACAGCAUAUCUACCAUAGAACUUAUACAAAAUUGCACUUAUACAAAAGUGAAAUUUUCUAUAUUAAAAUGCACUUUUAAGCUCACUGUAGGUAUAUGGUUCAGUCAUCUUCAGUAGAAAUGGAAAGUUAGUUAUUGCUAUUGGGGUAUUGCUGAUAAGGAGAUCUUUUGGCAGUUCAUAAUGAGGAUAAUCGCAUUAAAUUAGGUUAAAAUCAUACCCAAGCAGUUACUUAAAAAGUGAUCAUUCCUGAGUACCAGUCUGCUUAAUCCUUUGUAUUGUGCACUUUUAGCUAUCCAUUGCACUGUGUCUGUACAAUACUAUACAUAAUAAUCUUAUUAUGUUCUACAUUAUCAGAUUCAGAACUGUGUUUUACUGGUCAAGUACUUACAAGGAGUUUGGCACAAGCUGUCAGUGUAGCUAUAUGAACAUUACAAAAGGAAUUUAAAGGUGUUCACAGCCAUCGUAGUCUUAUCUAGUAUGGUAAGCUGGAGAAACUCCUUCUGAAAUUCACUAGUGACACACAACCCAGGCAGACAUCUGUUGCACCAUCAUGUUGUGAAAUGUAUUAGACUCCUACAAUAAAAUUUACUAUUGGAACCAUGUUUAAUAGCAUGCUUAACAAAAGCUUUAAAGUAUUGAAGGAUCAGAAUCUAAAAGUCCAAUUUUAAAGCAUUUCUAUCCUUUUGAGAGUGGUCUCCAUCAGGAUGUUUGCUCCCCACUGCAACUGCUCUCUUCAACACCAAAUCUCAACCCACCAUGAAUGUGUAUGUUGGUCCAUGUAAGAAACCUGAGUGGCCACUGAGAGAAUGGUUUUGUCAGAAAGUUGUUCAGAGGCUUUCCUAAGGAACUGCCAUGAGGAAUCUCAUUAAUGCAGCACAUAAAUAUGAUUAGUGUGUGUGUGUGUGUUGCAAAUAUGACAUAUGGAAUGUGCUUUAAAAGAGCUCUGGAGAGAAAGCAAGAAAAAGAGAGAGAGAGAACAUGAUUGUGUGUGGAAUGGAAACCAGCUGGGUUUUUUUUCUGGAGCUAGUAUAACAGUGCAUGCAUAUAAACAUUAUGUGGAAUCUUUCCUUUUCAGUGCAGAACAGCAUCAUUAUCUAGCUACUAAAUACUGAUAAAAGGUCAUAGGUUAUCGAAAAAUAUCUCCGUGACUUUACAUUCAACAAGAUGUUCUUCUUCUUCUUUCUAUCUCUAAGACUUUUUCUCUCUCUAACACUUCUGUAAGACUUUUAAAAUGGUUGUAUAAGGGCAUGAAGACUGAGAUCCUGAGAGCAAGUUUCUACUGAGGUUUAGGUUGCUCAGUUUGUGUUUAUAUGUGUGUGGGCAUAUUUUGAUAUCUUGGUGGGGACCAAAUGUCCCCACAAGGAUAAGAAUAUCUGACAGUUUUGACCUUGUGGCUCUGUGACAUUUGGCUGGUCCUCAUGAGGAAAACUGCCUUUAUUUAAAACAAACAGAAGAGCCACAAGGUCCUCACAAGAAUAGUAAGACAAAGACAAACAUGUGUGUGUAUGUGUGUGUGUUUGUAAGAAAGAUAAGAUGGAAAAUAGCACACAACUGGCCCUCCAUUGAUCCCCUGUAGACUGUGGCUUGAUGGAAACAGACUCACGGGUUCCAUGUGCUGACGCCAUGGUCAGCUGAUGAUGAGGCCAGUUACAGAAUGUUAGUAAGCCCUUUUUCCCUCAUCCUCUCAUUCUAUCUCUCUGCUCCUUUGUAAAAGACAGAGCAGAAUCACUGACUUGUGUACAGUCUGUGUACAAUUGAUUAAUACAUUUUACAGCUUAACUAAGCAGAUUGUGCUGUUUUGGCUUGAGGCAGGAUUUCCUUCUCUGAAGAUUCAAUGGUCAGAUGUUUAAGGGAUUAUAAAGAGAGAGAAAUAAAGCACAUGAAAACUGAAACUGAAAUACAUUGUCCUCUCUCUUUUCUCAUCAGUGCCGUCCUCAGAUACAGGUGUGCAACUCAUCUCUUGCAUAAACUACUUUUUGACUUGGGUGAUAUCACUCAGUUUGCUCAGAGUGUAUGUUUUGUUGCCCAAGUGCUUUCAGUAGAUAUGUGUUCUCUCAUUUUCUGCCCACUGUGCAUAUCUUUAUUGAGCCAGCAUAUGAUAUUUCACUUGAGGAGAAGAGAGGAGGAAUAGGAUACUUCUUUUGCUCGCCAAUAGCAACAGAGCUCGUAGUGCAUUUCUUUUGUGCUCUUUUCUGGGAAAGCUAUCUGUGUUUGUGUGUGUGUGUGUGUGUGUGUGUGUGUGUGUGUGGCCAGAGAACAGCCAGGCUGAACAAACACCAUAUUGUGCACUUUUCUAUUGGGUUUAUUUCUUCACUCAUAGACCUAAGCAGUCCUUCCACAUUCAGCUCUGUCUCGGGUAGAAGAGAAAGUUUUUAUGAAACACAGGACUGAAUGGCAAAGCAAAAAUCUCCAAAUGCACAACAAGGCAAAUCUACUAUAUUUGUAGCACAUACAGUUGAUUAUUAUUUAUAAGGACUUAUAAUCGUAAAAAUAAUACAAAUGGGUUUCUUUUACUUUUAUACCUGCGCUGGUCAUCCUAUCAGGUAAAAAUAUAUAGGUAUACCCUUCCUGACUGUUCCGUUGCUCUGUACAUUAAUAGGAAAUGACCGCCAUAGAAGCACCACUGACCAAAUAUUAUUUGGCUAGUGGAUCAGUCUCAGCACUGCCAAAAAUCAGUGACACUGACAUUGAUACUGUAAUGUGUAUGGAGCUGGUGCAAGUGCAGCAAUGCUGGGGUUUGAACAGUGUGUACUUACUAGCCAGUGUAUUAGACAUAAUAAAGUCCACCUUGUAGGUGUGAAGUUGAAUACUAUAGCUAUGAUCAUUAUUUAGCCUUUCAGCAGUGUCAGUUUCUGACCACAGAACUGGAUAUUUUUGGUUGGCGGACUGUUUCUCAGCAGUGACAAUAAAGUAUUUAAAAAUCACAACAAUGCUACUGCACCUGAUUCACUUGUUCCACCUCCACGUCCAUUACCAUACCACUACCAUGUCAGUGUCAUUGCUGAGCUGUGUCCAUCGGAUACGUAUUGUUGGUAAGCAGACGAUUCUCAACCCAGCAUUAGCAUGCCAAAAUUCCCAGCAUUGCUGCUGUGUCACACACUAUAAUGCCACUACCAUGUCAGUGUCACUGCUGUGUGAAGAACACCCAAAUAGCAUCAGGUGUGGUCCUAUAGUGCCCCUUCUAUUAACUGCCUGGGUACUGGGAAAUGUGACAAAUCAUGCAUAGCAACAGAGGGACUACAGCUCAUAAUUAUAUGCCUCUAUAUGGUGAGUGCACCUGCAAAUUGGCCACUGAGUGUGUAAGUUGAAAAAUAAACAAAUAUCUCUGUGUCUGUAUUGCCAAUGCAUCAGUCACAGAACCACAAUAAAGUUUCUAGACAAAACUGUCUAAAACUAUGGCAUCAUAGCUACGCCGCAAUGAUAUUUCAAGCAAGAAGUACCUUUCAGAGGAAGCCUGAAAUUCACUGACAGGAAUAGCUGGACGUAUUUGGGACAGCAAAAUUUAAUUCAAUUUAGUUCAUUUACUAAACUAUAAGGUAUAUAGCACAAUAGGCAUUGUCACAGACCAGCUUUACAGAAAUCCCAGUCUAGUGACAGCAGUAAAGAAAAACUUCCUGAGAUGACAUGAGGAAGAAAGCUUAAGAGGAGCCAGGCUUCCAACUGGGGAGCCUAUCCUAUUCUGAGUGACACAUGGAGAGUGGUAUGAGCUAUAAACCUGAAGGCUGAGGUAAAUUAUAUGAGCCUCCCUUUAGGUUCAUAAACAGAAAUGUGGAUGCUAGUCAGUUAUAAGUUUAAACCUGUCACAAAGAAUCACAGCUGAAAUUAUUAGGUUAAAAUAAAUGUGAUAUUAUAGGAAGGGCUGUAAAUUAAAAAGUUAGGAUACAUACUGUAAGUAUAACCUAGUAUAAGAAACAAAGUCUUGCCUUAGACUUUGGAGCUGUGGGAGUUACUAUGGCCUAAUAAAUUAUCUUUUACUUCUUUUCUGUUUGUCUUGAUGGGUUUCUCGUUUGAAAAAGCCAGAGAAAAUGUUAAAAUCUUACUAGUUGA